GAGAAGAAAAAUUAAACAAAAUGUGUUGUAAAAAUAUUAUAAUAAUAAAAGUCUAAAAUAUUAUAAUAAAAGUAAAACCUAUAAAAAGAAGUAAAAAAUAUAGAAUAAUAUAAUAUUUACGAUACUUUCACGUCUUAGACAAUAGAAAAAUAACAAAUAACAGAAGAAUAUUGGCCGAUAUGUAUAAUAAAAGAAUAGCAUAUUUGCACUAAUUUGUAUAAAAAAUCAUUUGCUUUUUGAUUGUAUUAUAAUUUGCGACACAUGUUGUAUAACCUGUUUAUGGAGAAAACAUUGUUACAUAUACGCAAGAGAAUACACGAUUGUUACUUUUUUCUUUUGGUUAUUGGUUCUUUCUUAAAAUAUUUCACUAAAAAUGCAAUAAUUCAGCAUAGUCAGCAGGUCUGAAGAACUCAUGAAAUAUUUACGUGAACGAAUCGAGUCUUACAAAAUCUAUCUAUUCGUGCCCGAAUCGCGACCACGUGCGAUAUCUACAUACACACACACACACAUACAGUGUCUUCGCAGACGAGAUAUAUAGAUUGAGCAAGCAAUGUAACUGAUCCAUUCACCACUAGAUGUCGCAGAGAUCUCGUCAAACUCGUGAAAAAAAAUCAUCGACUAGGCUACAUAAGACGCUAGCGGAGACGACAGAACCAGUCAUCAGUAAGGAUAUUACUGAUCAAUACAGCAGAUGAUGAUUAAUGGGAGAUGAUUCAUGAUUACACUCCACCCUGCUGCCGUAGGGUAUCGCAAACUACGGUUGUCAGGAAUUCUGAUGCUGCUGAUGACUCAAUUUUUUAAUCUACUAAUGACAAUUCUCCUUAUCACAGUAACCUAGGAGAUGUCAAAAUUAUUUUUUUUAUAUAAAAAAAAAAUUAAUGCUAUUACAACAAUGUUAUCAUUAUUAAGUACAUUUAGUUUUUCUAAUAGAACCACGUGUUCUGGAUAUGUAUUGAAAAAAGUAAAAAUAUAUAUAUACAAAAAAGUUUAUCCAGAAAAGUUUUAGUAUGGAAAAUACUUUUGUGCAAAAUUUAUAAAUCAUAUUUGUACAAAUAUUUGAUGACCGUUGUUAGUGUAACCAAUGUGUAUUUUUAAUACUUGCAUCUCAAUAUUUUUCUUGUUUUGUAAUAUUGAUCUAAAAUAAUAUUUUCGGAAAAAAUAAUAUAUACAGAAUGUAAAAAUAAUAUAAACAGAAGAUCUGAAAAAAAUACGGAAGAUACGGAAAAAAUUGUCAGAGGUACUGAACAUGGACAGGUAAAAUUGAAUAUCUUGUGUAUUUUAAAUCAAAGAAUAUUAAAAUUAGAGAAUAAAAAAUUAUAUUAAAAAAUGAAAUAAAUAAAGUGUCGUCACGUUGUCAAGUGACAAUGUGGUACAAAAAAAUUGUUUAACUUUUAAUUAGAUUUUUAGGACAAUUAAUUAAAAUUAAUGAAAUAAUUACACGUGUGUUCUAAAAUUGUGUAAAAAUAUAUACAAACUAAUAUUUUUUUAUAUAUUCGCGAAUUUUCAUCAAUUUGGUAGAUUUAUAAAAUGAUAAUUUUAUCGUAUUUAUCAUAAUUUUGAUCGCUUAAAACUUUUAAUUUUUCUCGUAAUGUGAGAGAAUUGUGUUCAAUAGUAGAUCCAAAAUCACAUUAAUAUGAAACUAACGCAAUACACGCGUUUGCGUGCCACUUAGUUAAUCGAAACUCAUUAGAGGCCGGCGUCGCGUGCGUCACGUGUCCGGGACAUGCGACGUGUUCGACGCUUAUCACAUAGGAAACCGGAAACCGGGGCAGAGACUAGAGACAAUAAACGGAAGUUCACAUGUCUCUCAUCCGCAGGCAAAAGUUCGAGAGGCUACGGGAAUACCCCUUAAUGCCUGUGAAAACGAAUUCCUGUCGUGCGGAUAGUUGUCGGACCGUUGCAUGUGCAACACCGAUAACACGGCAUCAAGCGCAGUCAGAUCCUACAUUCGCGGUUUCGCCGCAGGUCACGUAUCCAAAUAUUGGAAAAUUUUGAACAAUCGCGUUUCAUCUGGCGUUUUUGUACGGUUUCAAAUGCCAGAUUAUUUCUUUGACAUAGCUGUUUACGCGACUGAGAUCUUAAA